rnacentral:rRNA from 1 species
GGUAACAUCAAAUCGUACCCCAAACCGACACAGGUGGUCAGGUAGAGAAUACCAAGGCGCUUGAGAGAACUCGGGUGAAGGAACUAGGCAAAAUGGUGCCGUAACUUCGGGAGAAGGCACGCUGAUAUGUAGGUGAAGCGACUUGCUCGUGGAGCUGAAAUCAGUCGAAGAUACCAGCUGGCUGCAACUGUUUAUUAAAAACACAGCACUGUGCAAACACGAAAGUGGACGUAUACGGUGUGACGCCUGCCCGGU